rnacentral:rRNA from 1 species
AUUGAACGCUGGCGGCAGGCUUAACACAUGCAAGUCGAGCGGAGAUGAGGUGCUUGCACCUUAUCUUAGCGGCGGACGGGUGAGUAAUGCUUAGGAAUCUGCCUAUUAGUGGGGGACAACAUUCCGAAAGGAAUGCUAAUACCGCAUACGUCCUACGGGAGAAAGCAGGGGAUCUUCGGACCUUGCGCUAAUAGAUGAGCCUAAGUCGGAUUAGCUAGUUGGUGGGGUAAAGGCCUACCAAGGCGAUGAUCUGUAGCGGGUCUGAGAGGAUGAUCCGCCACACUGGGACUGAGACACGGCCCAGACUCCUACGGGAGGCAGCAGUGGGGAAUAUUGGACAAUGGGGGGAACCCUGAUCCAGCCAUGCCGCGUGUGUGAAGAAGGCCCUAUGGUUGUAAAGCACUUUAAGCGAGGAGGAGGCUACUGAGACUAAUACUCUUGGAUAGUGGACGUUACUCGCAGAAUAAGCACCGGCUAACUCUGUGCCAGCCGCCGCGGUAAAAC